rnacentral:rRNA from 1 species
CCAUAAGACGAGAAGACCCCAUGGAGCUUCAAACCCAAUUACACCCCUAACCCCUAUAACUACUUAACCCUUAGGAUUCUGUAUUAUUGGUUUUAGGUUGGGGCGACCACGGAGUACAACAAAACCUCCACAAUGAACGGAACUACUUCCUCAUCUGAGAGCUACACCUCUAAGAAUUAAAAUAUUAACAUAAAAUGAUCCAUUUUUGAUCAAUGAACCAAGUUACCCUGGGGAUAACAGCGCAAUCCAUUUCAAGAGCCCCUAUCGACAAA